GAUGAACGCUGGCGGCGUGCUUAACACAUGCAAGUCGAACGAUAAAGCCCAGCUUGCUGGGUGGAUUAGUGGCGAACGGGUGAGUAACACGUGAGUAACCUGCCCUUGACUCUGGGAUAAGCCCAGGAAACUGGGUCUAAUACCGGAUAGGAGCGCCUGUCGCAUGACGGGUGUUGGAAAGAUUUUUCGGUCAUGGAUGGACUCGCGGCCUAUCAGCUUGUUGGUGAGGUAAUGGCUCACCAAGGCGACGACGGGUAGCCGGCCUGAGAGGGUGACCGGCCACACUGGGACUGAGACACGGCCCAGACUCCUACGGGAGGCAGCAGUGGGGAAUAUUGCACAAUGGGCGGAAGCCUGAUGCAGCGACGCCGCGUGAGGGGUGACGGCCUUCGGGUUGUAAACCUCUUUUCAGUAGGGAAGAAAGCGAAAAGUGACGG
rnacentral:rRNA from 1 species